UCACCCUGACUUCAGUGGAAACAGAACCAGGCCUUUGUUGAGCAGCGAAGACAUUUUCAGGGUGGACCACUACAUGAGUUGCAAAACCACUGGUGGAAGUAACGUCGAAGCGCUUUUAAAAAUCAACAUGUUUCCAUCGACUAGCAUGCAGCCAGCAGGGGAAAAAACCCAAUCAGGAAUUGCUGGGAAUGUUGUGAGCUCUCUCUAGACUAGGGGAGGCUGGCGGGGCUGUUCUGUAUGCGCCUUCUGAUUUGAAUGGAGAAAGAGAAUUCGGAUUACCGGGGGAUACAACCAAGCACAUUUUCGGAGGUGACGAAGAGCUGUUAAUUGCAUUUCGCUUCUUCAACAGUGCUAGGUGUUAGCUUCUACGCUUUAAAAAGAAAAGUGACCUUUUUCCACCGGGCACGUAGCUCGUGUGCCUAGUAGUGACUGUGUUUCAAAGCAGACCAGAGUGGCCCCCUCACACCAUAAAUCGUUGUACAGCUACUUUGGAGGCUAUUGAAACUAUGGCCAAGCUACCAACCAGCCUUGUAAAGAGCUGGGCAUAAAAAUGGGACCCAACAUCUAAAUCAGGCUGGAAAUGAAGCAGGGGGAAGUCAA